rnacentral:rRNA from 1 species
UACGUAGGGACCAAGCGUUGUUCGGAUUUACUGAGCGUAAAGGGCGCGUAGGCGGCAAAUCAAGUCAUCUGUGAAAUCUCCGGGCUUAACUCGGAACGGUCAAGUGAUACUGUCGGACUAGAGUACAGAAGGGGCAACUGGAAUUCUCGGUGUAGCGGUGAAAUGCGUAGAUAUCGAGAGGAACACCUGCGGCGAAGGCGGGUUGCUGGGCUGAUACUGACGCUGAGGCGCGAAAGCCAGGGGAGCGAACGGG